UCAAGUUAAUAAGAGCUUUGGGUGGAUACCUAGACAUUCAGAAGCGAUGAAGGGCGUGGUUACCGACGAAACACUUCGGGGAGCUGGAAACAAGCUUCGAUCCGGAGAUUCCCGAAUGAGGAAACUCUUAUACUCUUUUUUCGAAUAUAUAGAUCAAAGAGAGCGAACCUGGUGAAUUGAAACAUCUUAGUAACCAGAGGAAAAGAAAGCAAAAGCGAUUCUCUUAGUAGCGGCGAGCGAAAGGGGAACAGCCUGCAAGUGAUAGCAGAAGUGUUAGUGGAAUAGUCUGGAAAGUCUAGCGAUACAGGGUGAUAGCCCCGUACACGAAAACACAUCUGUGGUACUAAGCUUGCGAUAAGUAGGUCGGGACACGUGUUAUCUUGACUGAAGAUGGGGGGACCAUCCUCCAAGGCUAAAUACUACCAAUUGACCGAUAGUGAACCAGUACCGUGAGGGAAAGGCGAAAAGAACCCCUGUGAGGGGAGUGAAAUAGAACCUGAAACCGUAUACGUACAAGCAGUAGGAGCAGACUUGUUCUGUGACUGCGUACCUUUUGUAUAAUGGGUCAGCGACUUAUAUUUAGUAGCAAGGUUAACCGAAUAGGGGAGCCGUAGCGAAAGCGAGUGUUAACUGCGCGUUUAGUUGCUAGGUAUAGACCCGAAACCGAGUGAUCUAGCCAUGGGCAGGUUGAAGGUUGAGUAACAUCAACUGGAGGACCGAACCGACUAACGUUGAAAAGUUAGCGGAUGACUUGUGGCUGGGGGUGAAAGGCCAAUCAAACUCGGAAAUAGCUCGUACUCCCCGAAAUGCAUUUAGGUGCAGCGUUGAGUAAAAGUUUUAUAGAGGUAGAGCUACUGAUUGGAUGCGGGGGCUUCACCGCCUACCAAUUCCUGACAAACUCCGAAUGCUAUAAAAUGUUUCUCAGCAGUGAGGGCAUGGGUGCUAAGGUCCAUGUCCGAGAGGGAAAGAACCCAGACCAUCAGCUAAGGUCCCAAAAUAUAUGUUAAGUUGAAAAAACGAGGUUUGUCUGCUUAGACAGCUAGGAUGUUGGCUUGGAAGCAGCCAUUCAUUUAAAGAGUGCGUAACAGCUCACUAGUCGAGCGGACGAGCAUGGAUAAUAAUCGGGCAUAAACAUAUUACCGAAGCUAUGGAUUUGUAUUAUAUACAAGUGGUAGGGGAGCAUUGUAACAGGGUAGAAGGUGUACUGUAAGGUAUGCUGGACUGGUUACAAAAGAAAAUGUAGGCAUAAGUAACGAUAAUGCGGGCGAGAAACCCGCACGCCGAAAGACCAAGGUUUCCCCAGCUAUGCUAAUCAGCUGGGGGUCAGUCGGGACCUAACGCGAACCCGAAGGGGAUAGUGGAUGGACAACAGAUUAAUAUUUCUGUACCUGCUCACGCUAAAAGUGACGGAGGCGAGAAGUUGGUGCGUACAGACGGAAUUGUACGUUGAAGGGAGCGGUAACGCCCCGAUAGUACACCGAGACCACGGUCAAGGUGAUAAUCCAGCAUAUCGACUUCCAAGAAAAGCAAGUGAAGCAGCCCGUACCGUAAACCGACACAGGUGGUUGGGAUGAGUAUUCUAAGGCGCUCGAGAGAUUCAUGGCUAAGGAACUAGGCAAAAUAGACCCGUAACUUCGGGAGAAGGGUCGCCCUGUAGCAAUACAGGGCCGCAGUGAAAAGGUCCAGGCGACUGUUUAUCAAAAACACAGGGCUUUGCUAAAUUGAAAGAUGAUGUAUAAGGCCUGACACCUGCCCGGUGCUGGAAGGUUAAGAGGAGAUGUCAUUCCUUCGGGGAGAAGCAUUGAAUUGAAGCCCCAGUAAACGGCGGCCGUAACAAUAACGGU
rnacentral:rRNA from 1 species